GCCGAAGUGGCGGAACAGGUAGACGCAGCAGACUCAAAAUCUGCCGAGGAUCACUCCUCGUGGGGGUUCGAUUCCCUUCUUCGGCA
rnacentral:tRNA from 1 species